AGAGACAGCAGCCGCCGCGGUAAUACGAAGGGUGCAAGCGUUAAUCGGAAUUACUGGGCGUAAAGCGUGCGUGGGCGGUGAGUUAAGUCUGCUGUGAAAUCCCCGGGCUCAACCUGGGAAUGGCAGUGGAUACUGGCUCGCUAGAGUGUGUCAGAGGAUGGUGGAAUUCCCGGUGUAGCGGUGAAAUGCGUAGAGAUCGGGAGGAACAUCAGUGGCGAAGGCGGCCAUCUGGGACAACACUGACGCUGAGGCACGAAAGCGUGGGGAGCAAACAGGAUUAGAUACCCCUGUAGUCCCUGUCUCUUAUAC
rnacentral:rRNA from 1 species